GACGAACGCUGGCGGCGUGCUUAACACAUGCAAGUCGAACGGAAAGGCCCUGCUUUUGUGGGGUGCUCGAGUGGCGAACGGGUGAGUGACACGUGAGUAACCUGCCCUUGAAUUUGGGAUAACUUCAGGAAACUGGGGCUAAUACCCGAUAGGAGCUCCUGCUGCAUGGUGGGGAUUGGAAAGUUUCGGCGGUUAGGGAUGGACUCGCGGGUUAGCAGCUUGUUGGUGGAGUAGUGGAUUACCAAGGAUUUGACGGGUAGCCGGCCUGAGAGGGUGACCGGCGACACUGGGCCUGAGAUAGGGCACAGACUCCUACGGGAGGCAGCAGUGGGGAAUAUUGCCCAAUGGGCGCAAGCCUGAUACAGAAACGCCGCGAGCGGAAAGACCGCUUUCCGGUUGUAAACCGAUUUCGCUUGGGCCGAGGAGUGAGUGACGGUACUGGGUCAAGAAGCACCGGCUAACUACGUG
rnacentral:rRNA from 1 species